AAAGACUCCUUUCCUGAUCCAAGAUCGACCAACACUACAUGAAGAAAAGCAGCUUUUCACAGAAUAACUUUAAGGUUAGAACAAAGGAAAAGAUUUUGUCAGCUCCUUGUACCAACAUCCCUGACUCACUUCCUCUAUGGCAAGAAUGAUAGCAUGGUAACAAGCUGUUCCUUGUUAACCAAAGUGAUAGCACAUGGCUUGGCCACUGUUUAUUUCUGUUCUAUAAUUUACCCACUCACUACUGUCUCAAGAAUUAUCUAUACUUCUCCAGUCAGCAGUUCAUUCCUCCCAUUAGGAGGGCACCUUCUAACUAGUCAGCCUAAAGUGUUUGCAUUCUCUUCCUGGGAUCCUUAGGAUCCUUCAGUAAUUUUUUUUAAGUGAAGAUUUUUAUAUUUCGAUAUUUUUUCAAUUAUGAUGCCUAAAAACAAUUUUUAACUGUAGUUUUUUUUUUUUAAAUUUGUCCCAAAUUCUCUGUCUCCUUCCCCUUCCUUGAAAAGCAAGCAAUUUGAUAUAGAUUAUUCUUGUGCAGUUAUGAAAAACAUUUCCAUAUUAGCUAUGUUACAAAAGAAAACACUCCAAGAAACCCCAAGAAAAAUAAGGUUUUAAAAAAAGUACACUUAGAUCUGUGUUCAGACUCUAUCAGUUCUUUCUCUGGUGGAGAAUAGGUUUUUUUUAAAUCAUAAGUCCUUUAGAAUUGUCUUGGAUAAUUGCAAUGCUGAAAAUAGCCAAGACAUUCACAGUUGAUCAUUGUAUAGUAUUGUUCUUCCUGGGUUACAAUGUUCUAAUUCAGCUCAUUUUGCUUUUUAUCAGUUCAUGUAAGUCUUCCCAGGUUUUCCUCAUCAGUAACUUGGUGGAUCUGGAGAAGGGGCAAAGCCAGCUCAGCUCUAAAGAGAAGUGAAUUUGACUAAUUUAUUGACUCAAGGCUUGCAUUAGAAGUGGUCAUUACAGAGGCUUCAUUGUACAUACAUUUUUGGCCUAAUGACAGUACUAAUGUUCCAGAAGCAAUUUAACCACACAGUUUAAAUAAAUUUAGUGGCUCUUGAUGUUUGUUCAAAAUAGUGUAAUGUCCAUCUAAUGCUAAUAUAACAGGCAUCCUUACUAGCUCCCAGGCAAAUUGAAGUGCUCAGGAUUGUAUUUUUCUGAUCACUACAUUUCAACAGGGAUAAGCAAGGGUUCCUAAUUGAUCCAUUUGUAUCUCUUCACUGAUUGAUCAUACUUAAUUUCACCUGAAAAAAUACAUCUUAUUUUUCCUAGUUAUCCAAGAUUUAUUGUAGCAUAAACUUUUAGACUUAGCUGAUCUAUUUGACUUCCUGUUAAGUCUCAUUCUCAAGUAACUCAGAUUCUCUAAGAUAAAAUGUAUUAGGAAACCUGGAGUGCUAUCCUUAGUGUUUUAAAAAUUCAUAGGUCAUUAUGGAUUAGGUAAUUAACCUGUGCAAGAUCAAUUUCUUCCAUAGAUUACUUUGAAUUUGAAAAGGAAUUUCCAGGUGCUGGCUGUUCAUACCCAUUCCAGUAUACCAAAAAUGUUGGGGGCAGGGGGAGUGGAUAAUUAGACAAUAUAAUAACAAUACAGAAAUAGAAGUAUUAGGUGAUGGGUUCAUGGGUUUAGGUCUGGAAAGGACCUCAUCUGUCCGUUAGUCCAACCACUUGGUGAGGAAAAUGAGUCCUACAGAGAUUGACUUGCCCAAUGUCACCUAGGUACUAAACAGAAAUUUGAACCUAGCUCCUAUGAGUGUAAAUUCAACAUACCCCUUGUCUGGUUCACUAUAAAGAAGAAGGUGUUUUGUGGUUUGUUUUUUUUUUUUUAAUUGAGAACUACACAAAAAUGGAGUGAUUUUCCUCACAAAGGAGUCAGAAAUUGUUCAAGUAAAGGCUGAAUGACACUCCGUUAGGAAUAUUAUAGAAGAAAUUCAUUCCUACAUUAGGAAGAAGGUUUGACAAAGGUGACCUUUAAGGUCUCUUCCAAUUAUGAUUUCUAUGAAAUUCCCACAUUUCCAGGGGAUUUUAAUAAUCCCAUCAUUUUCUUAUUCUCCCGUGUGGAUUUUGCCCAGUAUAAAAUCAUGGCUUUUUUUUUUCUCUAAGUAUCUUAGUCUUAAAAUCCACAAAAUGUGAUUUAAGUGAGAAGAUUUGGCAUUAGGGGAACAAGGUUCAAAUUCUGGGCUUUGCUGUUUCCUAUCUUUGUAACUUGGGGCAAGUCAUUUAAUUUCUCUUGUUUUCUCAUCUAUAAAAUAGGGAAUUGUAGACUAGGCAAGCUCUGAGGUCCUACCAGGUUAGUUCUAAUCCUAUGAGUCUCCAAAAAAUGUGACAUUGGUAGGGAAAGUGGAAUUAGGAAUUAGCUUUAAAAAACAUAAUUGAUCAUAUGUUUUCUAUGUCCCAUGCUGCUCCUUGAUCCAAAAGGAACUUUACAUAUCAUCUCAUCCAAGUACCUGUCUGGUAAAUGAAACCCCUCUACAAUAUCUAUGACAAUUGGUAAUAUUAAAAGCUUGUGUUCUUCAGGGCUGUACCCACAUAUUCUGAUAAUUGUUUCUAACCCUUUUCUGCUUACAUGCUGAAAUCCAGAAAUGCCAGAAUGCAAAUGCAAUGCUAAGAAUUCAUUUACCUUCAUUUCACCUGCUUUGCUUUAUUUUGCUUUGUUGCUUUACAUUAUUUAAAGGUCACAAUGACAUAGUUGACCCGUGUAAGGUUGAGCCAACAUCUGAUAUCUCUUUAUUUGGAAAUACUUCGUUUUUCUUAGUAUUUCCCCUUUAGCUUGGCAAGUAAUUUUGUCCAGCUACAUUCCUUGUGUCUGCCCUCAAAAGUUUUUGAUUUAUUGGAAUUACAACCAUCUAGGUUCAUUUGUCUUUUUUUGUCUUAAACAGCUUCUUUCACUGACUUAUAAAAAGAGAAGUUCAAAGUUAAUUAGUGUUCUAGAAGUUCAUAACCCCAAUCAGAGUCUGAAAACCCAGGUCCCCUUUAGGACGGAAUAGAUGGUGAACUCUCCUUGACAAAAUUUGAUCACACUCAAGAUAAUACCAGGAGAGGGGUGGCUGGGAACCUCCAUAUAUAUGUGUAUUUUAGGAUACAUUAGGCAAAGUGAACUUUGUUUCAUAAUCAACUGUUAGUGUAUCUUCAAGAAAUGUGUAUCUGUCCAAGAUGGAUUUCAAGGGUAUUUCAAUGGGUUUGUAAUGAACACUUAUCUCUUCUCCUAGUACUCUCUUAGUCUCCAACCCUCCCACCCUUCCCUGCCCUGUCGGAUGAUGCCAAAGUGAUAGCAGCUAUGGAACUAGUUGUACCCAAAGAGAGGUAUAAGUCAAGUUGUCCUAGUUUGAUGUUGCCCUUUCCUGGUAUUUAUAUUUUCUCACCUAUAAGAAUGUAUAUUUUGUAUAGCAUGUGUAAUAUUUGUCUA
rnacentral:lncRNA from 1 species